UUGCCUGCAGAGAGUGAAGAGAAGUGAUCGAACCUUCCAGGCUGGCAAUCCUUGCUCACAAUCCAAAUUCAGUAAAUAUAUAUUUUCAUGGACCAUGUGAAAAUGCAACUCUGCAAAAAGAUCUGUAGUGCCAAGUCAUCAAUAUGUCUGUGCUGUGGCUACUUCUGGGCCUUCUUGCCUUUACUGGACCCUGGCCUUCAUGCCCCACCUCCUGGAUCAGCAAGGCCCAGGUUUCCCAGAUGACUGAGGUCCUGACUGUUAGAAUCAAAGAAAUCCAGAGGAGGUUUCCAACCUGGACCCCUGACCAGCACCUGAGAGCUUUGUGUAACCCAUGGGUUGGUUUCCCAGCGUGGAGUUAAUAAGUACAAACAUAAUUCAUUGCAGCAGAUUCUCCCAAACCUCAGUUGCCUCCUAAAAAGCAACUAGGAAAGAGAAUCUGAGUUAACUGCUGAGCACCCUGCCACAGCGAGGGGCUGUGGGCUUGGCAUUAACCCAUCUCACAAAUUCCAGGUGGACUCCGUGACUACACCCGAAGCAGCCAGGACCUGAGCUGUGACUUCUGCAAUGGUGUCCUUGCACGAGCCAAAUACUUCAGAAGACAGGGCUUCUAACGCUUCAGCUCAGACCCAAGAUCAUUAUUGUGCAGGCAGCUUCAGCUGUUACACAGAUAAAAGUAGCCAAUGAGGGCUUCCCUGGUGGCGCAGUGGUUGAGAGUCCACCUGCCGAUGCAGGGGACACGGGUUCGUGCCCCGGUCCGGGAAGAUCCUACAU